CUUGAGCGACCCCAGCCACAGGGGCCGGUCACCGGGCCGGUCCUGUCCGUAGGUGGCCAGCAGCGCGUGUGCUUC
rfam:Streptomyces violaceusniger Tu 4113, complete genome.